GUUAUUGAAGACCAUGCAUGCCUUGUCAAAGGGAAAUAAGGUCAUUUGAGUGUGUGGUGGAGGCUGAGGUGGGUGUGUAGUGGGUGCGGGGCUUGUCAGUUCACAUUCAGAGCAGUGCUUGUGUCCUCUUGCUAAAGUGUACCAGGCAAACCAGGGGGACCCCAAUAUAGUCCAAGCCACUCCCCACAGGUAAUCCUGAGCUCAGGCUUUCUCAUCUCAUUUAACUCUCCAUCCACAGGCACUUCUUUCUUAAAACCAGCAAUGUGGAACGUGCGAAGGACCCUGAACUAAGAGUGCGAGCCCUGGGUGACUACCUUGGCCUGCAACUUCCUGGCUGGGUGGCCUUGAGUGAGUCACUACUUCUCUAUGUCUCCAAUUUUUUAAAUCCAGAAGUGGGACUGCUGGUUGCUGCCCUGCUUGAUUAGAGGGCUAGAAGACUGAGUGGAGACGGUCCCAAAGACACAGAGGAUGGUGGAGACACAGAUAGAAGAAGCCCAGGUUCCCCUAGCCUGGCCAGAGGAACUUGGCUCUCUCAUGCUGAAGAAUUCCUCACGUGGUCCUCCCCACACCAGCAGCCUCCCCAUCAUGCCCAGGGAACCAUGAAUC
rnacentral:lncRNA from 10 species